rnacentral:rRNA from 1 species
UACAGGGGGUGCAAACGUUGCUCGGAAUCAUUGGGCGUAAAGCGCAUGUAGGCGGUCUGUUAUGUCGCGUGUGAAAGCCCCCGGCUCAACUGGGGAGGGUCACGCGAUACUGUUCGACUCGAAGGCAGGAGAGGGAAGCGGAAUUCCCGGUGUAGUGGUGAAAUGCGUAGAUAUCGGGAGGAACACCAGUGGCGAAGGCGGCUUCCUGGCCUGUUCUUGACGCUGAGGCGCGAAAGCUAGGGUAGCAAACGGG